rnacentral:rRNA from 1 species
ACGGGGUGCAGCAGGCGCGAAAACUUCGCAAUGUGGGAAACCACGACGAGGGGAUUCCAAGUGCCAUGGCACUGCUAUGGCUGUUCAUGUGCCUAAAAAGCACGUGAAGUAAGGGCUGGGUAAGACGGGUGCCAGCCGCCGCGGUAAUACCCGCAGCCCGAGUGGUGAUCGCUAUUAUUGAGCCUAAAGCGUCCGUAGCCGGUCUAUUAAAUCCUUGGGUAAAUCGGGCAGCUUAACUGUCCGAAAUCCGAGGAGACUGAUAGACUAGGGACCGGGAGAGGUCAGAGGUACUCCAGGGGUAGGGGUGAAAUCCUGUAAUCCUUGGGGGACCACCAGUGGCGAAGGCGUCUGACUAGAACGGAUCCGACGGUAAGGGACGAAGCCCUGGGGCGCAAACCGGAUUAGAUACCCGGGUAGUCCAGGGUGUAAACGCUGCAGACUUGGUGUCGGGGGUCCUACGAGGGCACUCGGUGCCGGAGAGAAGUUGUUAAGUCUGCCGCUUGGGAGUACGCUCGCAAG